AAGUCGUAACAAGGUUUCCGUAGGUGAACCUGCGGAAGGAUCAUUAUCGUACAACGGAGGCGCGAGGGCUGUCGCUGACCUUCAAAGGUCGUGCACGCCCGCGCCCUCUCACAAUCCAUCUCACCCUUUGUGCAUCACCGCGUGGGUCCCCUUUGCGGGAGGGCUCACGUUUUCACAUAAAACUCGAUACAGUGUAGAAUGUUUAUUUUUGCGGUCACACGCGAUCAAUACAACUUUCAACAACGGAUCUCUUGGCUCUC
rnacentral:misc_RNA from 1 species